GAUCAGGAAAGAAAUCGUUAAGGGCGUAUGGCGGAUGCCUAGGCUUUCAGAGGCGAAGAAGGACGUGGUAAGCUGCGAAAAGCUGCGGGGAUCGGCACACACGAAUCGAUCCGCAGAUGUCCGAAUGGGGCAACCCGGCAUGUUGAAGACAUGUCACUCCGCAAGGAGAGCAAACCCGGAGAACUGAAACAUCUAAGUACCCGGAGGAAAAGAAAUCGAAGAGAUUCCGUAAGUAGUGGCGAGCGAAAGCGGAUUAGCCCAAAA
rnacentral:rRNA from 1 species